rnacentral:rRNA from 1 species
AGAGUUUGAUCCUGGCUCAGGGUGAAUGCUGGCGGCGUGGAUAAGGCAUGCAAGUCGAGUGGGUUUAGACCCACGGCAGACGAGGUAGUAACAGGUAGGAACCUUCCCUUUAGUCGAGGAUAUUCCGUCGAAAGACGGCGCAAUACUCGAUAGUCUCUACGGAGUAAAGAUUUAUCGCUAAAGGAGGGGCCUGCUUCGUAUCAGCUAGUUGGUAAGGUAACGGCUUACCAAGGCUAUGACGCGUAGGGGAGCUGAGAGGCUGACCCCCACCGAUCGCACUGAGACACGGGCGAUACCUCUACGGAGGGCUGCAGCCGAGAAUAUUCGACAAUGGGCGAAAGCCUGAUCGAGCGACGCCGCGUGGUGGACGAAGUCCUUCGGGACGUAAACACCUUUUGGAAGGGACGAAGUCAUUGACGGUACCUUCAGAAUAAGGGGUUCCUAACUCUGUGCCAGCAGGAGCGGUAAUACAGAGGCCCCAAGCAUUACCCGGAAUCACUGGGCGUAAAGGAUGCGUAGGUGGCGCACUUAGUCUUUCGUUAAAACCUCUUUGCUCAACAAAGAGAUCGCGAGAGAAACGGGUGUGCUCGAGGAUGUAAUAGGUAAGCGGAACUCACGGUGUAGGGAUUAAAUCCGUUGAUAUCGUGGGGAACACCAAAAGCGAAGGCAGCUUACUGGGACAUUCCUGACACUGAGGCAUGAAAGCGUAGGUAGCGAAAAGGAUUAGAUACCCUUGUAGUCUACGCCCUAAACGAUGAUCACUGGUUUUCGGGAGUAUCGACCCUCUCGGAGACGAAGCUAACGCGUUAAGUGAUCCGCCUGGGUAGUACGGUCGCAAGACUAAAACUCAAAGGAAUUGACGG